ACAUAAAUGGAAAAUGGGAUAAAAUGCAACUUAAGUUUACCAAAGGUAAAGCGGCUUGAGUGAAUAUACUUCUCUUGAUUAAAACCACUGUUUUAAUCAGUAGAAUGUGUUGUAGGUACUAUCCAUUAGGCUUCUGAAAAGUAUGGAUUUCACUGUGAUUCUUAAAGGAUCACUGUUGGAAUCUGUCUUACUUAAUUAUUCCAGUAAUGACUGUGACACAAAGAGAGUAUGCUAAUGAAAUUUGUAGAAAGCAAACACUAAGAGAUAUUGCUAAUAUAGAAGAGGAUUAAAGGCUCAUAUAGGAAAGGAAUAGAUACUGUGACAACUGUAAUAACAGAAAUGGAAUGAAAUUUAACAGCAUACAAUGUAUGUAUGAAAAUACAAGAGCAGGACCUCAGCACUUGGAAACCAAACAAGGAAGAGAUCCAUUAGUUGAAGACAGGCUACUUAUGAGUCACUACUGUGAAGAUAGCUGUGGAAAAGCUAAACACAAUCCUAAAAUGUUCCAGGUUUGGUAUUGCUAGUAGAUAGAUGAAAAUAUUAAAACCAUUGUACAAGGCAUUCCCGAAAUCUCAUGUCAAAUAUUCAUUUUUACUCUCCAUGUUUGACUGCUUGGACAGGUGAAAGAGACUGCUAUAAAAAUAGGAAAGCUUGUCUUAGUUGAGAUAAUGAAGAUAGCUCAGCUUCUUUCCCCAGGCUUAUUAUCAAGUAAGUAGCAAUCUAUAAUACUCACCAGUUCACCACUGCAGUACAGAUUUGUACAGUACAGACAUGUACAGAUCUGCUAUUAAAGAGCAAGGAAGCCUUUGGAUGUCUUCCAGUAAAUAUUCUGUGAAAAUUCCUGCUAACUGCAAAUAACAGUAACUAUCAUUAACACUUCAACCUUUAAGAAUACAGUGUGCUCAAAAAAUACCAAACUUGCUUGGUUUUGCAUAAGCUCUGAGGCAAAGAAUGCUAAAAUGAAAUACAAAUAUUGUAAAUAUGCAAUUUCAAUGAACUGAGUAGAUACCCGCUUUAGUCAGGAACACUUAUCACGAUGUGAAUUUAUUAAUCCACUUUAGUAUGUGUAGCCAUGUCAGUGUUUAUCAAAAGAUAACUCUUCUGUUAAAUAUAUAUGAGAAUGUUUACCAUAGUAUUGCAAAACAGCAUGCUCCAGUUCAGCAUUUUCAGACUCGUUAUCCAUGGAAAACAGGAGCCAUAUGUUAAGAGACUGGAGUCCUAAUAAACUUUAAGACAACAGUAAUGUUGUGUGUGAACUGAUUAGAGUGUGAAAUCUGUGGGCUCAAUCUACUUUGAAAGCUCUUUCAGGAAUAAAGACAUUUCUGGUGGUAGAGGCUGAGGAUGCCUGAGGUAAACCUCAGCACACCCUACAGCAUGUUAUGCCUAAGUGGGACACUGUGCAUGAAACACACUCCUCGUGCUGGGGUCAAGGCAGGUGUACCUCGCCUCCUCCCAGAAAUUCAACUGCUGUCCUCAGUUUAAAUGUGCCACAGAAGUAAUUUUAAUAAGACUUUAACCCUCCAGUAUUUUAUUUUAAAUAAUAAUGUGAGUGCUUGCUGGUGCUGUUACUUCAAAGAUGAAGAUACAUACAUAGAAAGACCACUAUUGCACAGCCAAAACUAGGGAUCACUAACAGAGGUCAUUUCUCACCAUAGCAAUGACUUCCCACCACUGCUGCCCUUCUAUUUCCUUUUAUUUCAUAUGUAUAUUACAGGCAUGGAAAUAAGCAUAAGUCUAAAAGGUUUCAAGCAGCCACGUCACAUCUGUGUACUGGAUGGGUGAAGGCUGCAUGGUCUGCUGCUGGGCAUUCAGCUGCCCUUUCAUUUCUUCCUGCUGUUGUUGAGAGCCUGAGUGUGUUUAUGACUGCCAUGGCUGCCCAAAGCAUGGAGCUUCAGAGAAGCUGGAUCUGAUAGCAGAGCACCAGCCUGCUGCUGAGGAAAAAGCUAAAGAGGGGCUGCCCGGAAGAGCCACUGCCGUUGAAAAUACUUUAGUAUGGCUUCACACCAGUGUCCUCUUAUCAUAGUAUCUGCCAAAGCUGCUGGUCAGCCCUCUGCUACUUUCACAUCUUCUUUGUUCAUAACCUCUGAUGUCACAGAUGAUUUACUGUCCACUCUUGAAUAAGUGGACUCGUUUUGAACGUGCUGCAUCAAGGAGGUAGAAGAGAAGGAUGCCCUAUCAAUGCAUUCAUUUUAUAGUCUAUUCCAUUUUGUUAGUGGACUUCAAGGUUUCAGUAGCCAGCGGAGGUAUCUUAUCAACACAUUUCAUGCUGGAAAGAGAAGGGCAAGUUGUCUUAACUUACCAAGAAAACAAGUCUGUCAGGGGAGGAGAGCUUUAAUUCCUCAAUUUGGAGACAGGCAGACAUUCUUUCAACUCAUCUUUUUAUGUUUAUAUUUUCAGAAGUCCUCUCCAGUGAAAAUACCUCAAACAUAUGUAUAUUUACAUAUAGUGUACAUAUAUAUUCAAAUAACCUGGGAAAAUUCCAUUGUUAUUGUCUAUAGGAGAAUUUUAAGGAAAUACAUGGAAAAGCAGCAAUGCUCCUGAACAGCAUUCUUCACUACACCUGGCUGGAGUCAGCUAAUGCAAAUUCAUCAAUGCUAGUGCUCGCUUCCUCUGCCCCACUACAAACCACAGUUUGAUAUAUGGGGCUAAGAAGCCAGCAAGAAGCUUUUAUCACCUCACUGGGAAUCUAUCAACCCCCAGAAUCAUGUCCAAAAAGCAGCUGAUACGCUAUUGGUAUGAAUACCAGAAACCAAUUCCAGCGUGCAUGCCACAGCUUCAUCGUCACUAUUCUUGCCAGUUCUCUCUAAAAGGCAAAUAUUUUGAUGAUAGUCUCCAUGCUAUGCUGAUAAGUAACCACUUGGUCAUUUCAUUUUCAUUUGCUUCACUGAUGUAUCUGUAAAGAGUCCAAGCUGAAGAGAAAGAAAUUAUGGCAAACAGCUGGUUUUAUUUAUUUUGCGUUGUUUAAGCUACUUCAGAUAUUCUGAAAUCUAAUUCAGAUGUGAGGUGGAGAAACACAGUUAGAAAACGUAGGAUAUAUACCAGUGUUGACAAUCACAAAUGGAAUCCUGCCCACAGCAAGUAUACUUGAUGUUUGUAGUAGUCUUUCAGCUGUCCCCUGCCUCAUCCAUCUAUUAGCAUUGCUUCAGGGUUGCUGACAAGGUAAUAUGACAAUUUCAGCACAAAGUAGGUGCUAAGCAAAGAUGACUCUAAACAGGCCACCUACUUACAGUGGUGAGCGUGACUGCUUCUGCCUGAAAUCCUUUUUUGCUGUUUAGGAGAAUUCAAAUGUGAUUUUGUGUUCUUUGUAUCUAAGAGAGUAUGACAAGAACUAUAGCUGAGGGGAAGGAGAGUGAGGACAUUGGAUUAAAACUGUGUUUAUUUCUCUAGGCAGAAGGCUGACUGACAAGCCUAGUGGUAUCCAGGCUAAAACCCGCUAGAUUUGGGGGCUUACUAAAGUAAAAUGGUGGUGUAACUAAGGCAUCCCUGCAGCUGCCAGAGCACUACAGAGUGGACUAUUUGGUUUUCAGGGCUUUUUAUGAAUGCCUAAGAAGGUGACCUUCUAAAGAGACAAAAGAUUUCUUCUGAAGGGAUAAUUAUUCCAUUUCUUAGACAGAGGAAUAUAAGGAAACAAUCAGACUUUGAUGACACACUGAUCCUUAUUUACUACAGAUUGAUGGAACAUCUUCCACAGAAGGCUUUUAACAUAGAUCUGUUUGUUCUAGAUAGGGAUUUUUAAACACUCCAUCACUUAUUCGGGGAAAUGGUCUGUGUGUGUUUAUGUCUGUCUCAUUCUCUUCUCAAUACAUUUUAUUUCCUCCUUAUAUGGAAGACAUUAAUGCAGAGUAAGAACUGUUCUGUGUUUUGUUUCCUUGCUAGGGUUCAUUUCUCUCCUGGUACUUCUGGUACUCAUGAAAUAACCACAUCACAGACUUUCCAGUUUAAUCACUAUUGCUUUUCUCUUAAAUAAAGAUCUUGUUACAGUAACAUACAGCCGUUGUACUAAUAAAGUUUCUGUUGUUAAUAUUUAAGAA